GUCGAGUAGAUUCUUUAUCAAUAUAUAAAUAUAGAAUCAGCAAGAAACUUGGUCAGUACUCUCUGACUGUUCACACGUGUUUACACAGCAUAGCCUAGAAGUCGGGACACAGGAAAUACGGACAUACUGGGAGAAAAUAUUAUUAAUAACCAUUUGCAUCAGUUGAACGUACGGAAAGAAAAUUCAAUUCUAGACUCUAUUUUGGUAAAAAGAUUGACAAGAACCAGUACUUCGCCAUGUAAAAACGUGGAAUCUUUUCAUUGACUUAAUAGCUUAGAAUAUUAACAAAAUGAACAAAAAAAGUGUCGGUGCUCUCGAUGUUGGUCGAGCUAAAAUCAAAAGAGCCGAAUACGACGAUGGUCUGAUACGCGAUAAUGUUCGAAUUGACAAUAAACAUAUGAGAGAAUUACGUGUGCACGAACGCGCUAAAAAUGUAAUCAGUCGAACGUUCGAUAAAGAAUCUCAACUUUUUAAGCAAAAGCAAGCCUCACAAAAGGCAAGGCCAACCGGUUUGAAUUCCCAAGGGCACAAGCUUAGAUUGUCCAGUACGGGGCCCAAUAAUUUCGCACUCGGAUCACCUAAUGCGAUUUCUAAUCACUGGAGCAGCGGUUCGAGUCCGAAUGGAACACUCUCGCCCGCUAUUUCUGACUCGCGAUCUACAGAAAGUAAAUCACCAGUAACACCAUGGGGAGACAACCAUCAAUUCCAGUAUUCGCCAGACCUGGUGAUGCCGCCUAUCCAAACUAAUGGACAAAGAUCGCCAGAUAUGCCGAGUGGAACAGAACCACCUUCUCUAACCAAAGUGAAAGUAGGAACAACACAGGUUAGUUCGCGAUUAAGCAUUCCACAUAGACAGUUAUCGCGAAACAGUAUUUCCGAUGAGACAGAUUCUGUAAGCAAAAACCGAAUCAAAAGUGCUUCUAGGGCAACCUAUAUGGAUCCGUUCACUGGCAGAGUUCGCGAAGAAACUGUCUUCGAUUUUCUAAGUAAGCCUAGGAAUAACUAUGAAGUUCAAAAAAGAAAAGACAUUCGAGUUCAACUUGAAAAAGAAUUCAGUCAUAGGAAAGAUGAGGCGCCAAAGAAAGUCGCCGCUAGAUCAAGUCUAAAGAAAAAGACAAUACCAAUUUCGCCGUUUCAAAAACGGGAUGGACGGAUUUAGAUUAUGGAACUUAUCGACAAAUUCAAAAUACUAGACCCUCGAAGGCCUAUAAGACAAUAAUUAACAUAUUCGUGGCUAUAACGUGAACGGGCAUAUUUAGUAUAAAAAUGUAUUUGUCCAAUGAUCAAGUGUGCAGCCCAUAAUGUGAUAAACCAAACUGAGUAGCAAAUGUUUUGUAAUUUAAUAAUAUGGCGAAUGCAUUUUGUGUGUUUUAGCUUUCCAUAAAGUAUUAAAUAAUGGAUAUGCUAAAUUCGUGCGUUAAUGGUAUAGUAAAUGCAUUUGUGUGUUUUAGCUUAUAAAGUAUUAAUACAUUUAACAGGUAAUCACAAUCUGAUUAAAACCAUGAUCCUAUUUCGUUUCGUUUUAUUAGUCUACACGACGAACUGGAAUAGUGGUAGUACCUUAGUUCUUUAACGUCUGCUGCCACAAAAGUGAUAUCGCAGAGAAGACGAAAGGAUAAAUGAAAUGGGGUUUAACGUCCUUCUAUUCUGUUGCAACUGGACUAAUGAAGAUGGUAUGAGGGGAAUUAUGAACCGCCAGCGGCGCUACGUACGUCCUAUAACUCUUAUAUCUAAUUCCAACAGCCAAUUAAUUCUCUACGUUGUCCUUUGCAAGGCGACAGGAACCGUAAAGAAUGGGGGUCACGUGGCUAAGUGGGUAAGACGCUGGCUCGCUAGCCUGGAGGUCGGGUGUUCGAUCCCUGCUUUGGCCGAGAAAGUUCAUCCAGAUUUUCCGGCGUGGUUCCCUCUUGUCAGUGAUACAGGACGGAGGGCCUGACAAGGACAGCUAUCUAGUCGUUCGGAUGGGACGAAAAACCGAGGUCCCGUGUACACAGUGGCGUGCACGUAAAAGAUCCCUUGACAGUUGGAAUUAGUUAUAAGAGUAGGUCGUAGUGCCGCUGUUCGGGCAAAAUUUCCCUCAUAGCACACUGUAUGGCGUAUGCCCGUCUUCAUUAGCCCAGUUCGGUGCAGAACAGUAGGACGUUAAACCCAUUUCAUUUCAUUUCAUUUCACGUAAAGAAUGUUUAAAUAACAGUGUUCUCUUCCAUAUGAGACAUUAGCCAAUGAAAAUUAUGUACUGAUACAAAUAAUAUUCAAUAUAUCUGUUUUAGUUUACUCGCUCAAAAUUUACAUCAGAAUGCACAAGAUCCAAUCUAAUUUUCAAAAUGCUCGGGGGGGGGGGGUAUUUAUGUGGGUGUUUAGACUUUAAUUUCCAUCACCUGCGAAACACUUAACGAGUAUCAAAAUAUGGCUAUCGAGCAGAGAUCAACUAUUUCUUCUGUGAAAUGAGUGUGUAUAUUUUUGACGCCCACAUUUAAUUUCGUCGCCCGCAAUUGUCCAAAUGACUUGAAUUUUACACGCGGUGUUUAUGUUUAGAAGUCAAUAUUUAAUCAUUAUUUUCACAGUUGUUGGCUGUUGCCUGAUCAGAUUGAAAAAAGCCUUGUGGUGGCUCUCGAGGCUAAAGUUAUCAUCAUAUAAUUGACAUUGAAUAUAACACAAUGUGAUAACUUCUAUGAACUUCCCGGAUGACGUAUAAGCUGCAGCAGGCGUGUAUUUCGUUGCCUGGUAAUCAGUAUCUGUUGUUUUGUUUUUUAAAGACCCCGCAUCACCGCCUUUAAAUGAACAAUUCAUUGCAGGCUUGUAGCAAGAUCGCUAACAGUUGCAAAAGGAGAACCAUAUUUAUAAAGAAAGUUUUCGAAGUUUGAAACUAGCCAAAUUGAUUUUUUUAAAAAUAUCUAAGAAUAAUUUGGUGUUAAACUUUUAAUUUAAUUAAAACAAAUAAUAUAUCUAA